AAGGAUCAUUACCGAGUGUAGGGUUCCUAGCGAGCCCAACCUCCCACCCGUGUUUACUGUACCUUAGUUGCUUCGGCGGGCCCGCCAUUCAUGGCCGCCGGGGGCUUUCAGCCCCGGGCCCGCGCCCGCCGGAGACACCACGAACUCUGUCUGAUCUAGUGAAGUCUGAGUUGAUUGUAUCGCAAUCAGUUAAAACUUUCAACAAUGGAUCUCUUGGUUCCGGCAUCGAUGAAGAACGCAGCGAAAUGCGAUAACUAGUGUGAAUUGCAGAAUUCCGUGAAUCAUCGAGUCUUUGAACGCACAUUGCGCCCCCUGGUAUUCCGGGGGGCAUGCCUGUCCGAGCGUCAUUGCUGCCCAUCAAGCACGGCUUGUGUGUUGGGUCGUCGUCCCCUCUCCGGGGGGGACGGGCCCCAAAGGCAGCGGCGGCACCGCGUCCGAUCCUCGAGCGUAUGGGGCUUUGUCACCCGCUCUGUAGGCCCGGCCGGCGCUUGCCGAACGCAAAUCAAUCUUUUUCCAGGUUGACCUCGGAUCAGGUAGGGAUACCCGCUGAACUUAAGCAUAUCAAUAA
rnacentral:rRNA from 1 species